rnacentral:rRNA from 1 species
CAGCCGCCGCGGUAAUACCAGCUCCGCGAGUGGUCGGGACGAUUAUUGGGCCUAAAGCGUCCGUAGCCGGCCUAGCAAGUCUCUGGUUAAACUUCAGGGCUUAACCUUGAGAUUGCUGGAGAUACUGCUAGGCUAGGGGGCGGGAGAGGUUGAGGGUACUUCACGGGUAGGGGCGAAAUCCUAUAAUCCGUGAAGGACCACCAGUGGCGAAGGCGCUCAACUGGAACGCGCCCGACGGUGAGGGACGAAAGCCAGGGGAGCAAAGGGGAUUAGAUACCCCCGUAGUCCUGGCUGUAAACGAUGCGGGCUAGGUGUUGGGUUGGCUUCGUGCCAACUCGGUGCCGCAGUGAAGGCGAUAAGCCCGCCGCCUGGGAAGUACGGCUGCAAGGCUGAAACUUAAAGGAAUUGGCGGGGGAGCACCACAAGGGGUGAAGCCUGCGGCUUAAUUGGAGUCAACGCCGGGAAUCUUACCGGGAGCGACAGUAGUAUGAAGGCCAAGCUGACGACUUUGCUAGACAGACUGAGAGGUGGUGCAUGGCC